rnacentral:tRNA from 17 species
GGAAGAGAUCGUUCCCCGGUGGGACGGCCGGUCUUCAAAACCGGCAGGGCCUGUCAAACAGGCUUGGGUAGGUUCGACUCCUGCUCUCUUCC